AGCUCGAUGAGUAGGGCGGGACACGUGAUAUCCUGUCUGAAGAUGGGGGGACCAUCCUCCAAGGCUAAAUACUCCUGACUGACCGAUAGUGAACCAGUACCGUGAGGGAAAGGCGAAAAGAACCCCGGCGAGGGGAGUGAAACAGAACCUGAAACCGUGUACGUACAAGCAGUGGGAGCCUUCGUAAGAGGGUGACUGCGUACCUUUUGUAUAAUGGGUCAGCGACUUAUAUUCUGUAGCAAGGUUAACCGUAUAGGGGAGCCGAAGGGAAACCGAGUCUUAAUUGGGCGUUAAGUUGCAGGGUAUAGACCCGAAACCCGGUGAUCUAGCCAUGGGCAGGUUGAAGGUUGGGUAACACUAACUGGAGGACCGAACCGACUAAUGUUGAAAAAUUAGCGGAUGACCUGUGGCUGGGGGUGAAAGGCCAAUCAAACCGGGAGAUAGCUGGUUCUCCCCGAAAGCUAUUUAGGUAGCGCCUCGUGAACUCAUCUCCGGGGGUAGAGCACUGUUUCGGCUAGGGGGCCAUCCCGGCUUACCAACCCGAUGCAAACUGCGAAUACCGGAGAAUGUUAUCACGGGAGACACACGGCGGGUGCUAACGUCCGUCGUGAAGAGGGAAACAACCCAGACCGCCAGCUAAGGUCCCAAAGUCAUGGUUAAGUGGGAAACGAUGUGGGAAGGCCCAGACAGCCAGGAUGUUGGCUUAGAAGCAGCCAUCAUUUAAAGAAAGCGUAAUAGCUCACUGGUCGAGUCGGCCUGCGCGGAAGAUGUAACGGGGCUAAACCAUGCACCGAAGCUGCGGCAGCGACACUAUGUGUUGUUGGGUAGGGGAGCGUUCUGUAAGCCUGCGAAGGUGUGCUGUGAGGCAUGCUGGAGGUAUCAGAAGUGCGAAUGCUGACAUAAGUAACGAUAAAGCGGGUGAAAAGCCCGCUCGCCGGAAGACCAAGGGUUCCUGUCCAACGUUAAUCGGGGCAGGGUGAGUCGACCCCUAAGGCGAGGCCGAAAGGCGUAGUCGAUGGGAAACAGGUUAAUAUUCCUGUACUUGGUGUUACUGCGAAGGGGGGACGGAGAAGGCUAUGUCGGCCGGGCGACGGUUGUCCCGGUUUAAGCGUGUAGGCUGACUUUCCAGGCAAAUCCGGAAGGUUAAGGCUGAGGCGUGAUGACGAGGCACUACGGUGCUGAAGUGACAAAUGCCCUGCUUCCAGGAAAAG
rnacentral:rRNA from 1 species